rnacentral:tRNA from 1 species
GGGCACGUAGCUCAAUUGGUAGAGCAACUCGCUUACAACGAGAAGGUUAGUGGUUCAAGUCCGCUCGAGCUCA